AUCGGGUUAUUUAAAAAGAAAAACGAGAGUUCUCCAAACUUUGAGGCUCCUUUCUGGAAGGGACGGCGGGAGACCUGGCCGGCGGCAGCCGCUGCGCUCUCUCCUCCUCCGCAGCCUGCGCCUUCCCGGCACCGCCGCUUCUCCUCCGACAGCUCCCGGAGCCCCGGCCCUGCCGCGGCCCCCACGCCCCCGGCUUUUCGCUGCCCCCCCGCAUCUUUUGUAGCUCCCCUCAACUUCAGCCGGCCGUGGGACCCGGCUCCCACCCCCACUCAACUGCUCGCUGCCGCGGGGCAAAGCUGGCAACGCAUCCGGACUUCGGCGGCCGGUCCCCCUGCCCCUUCCCAGGAGGGGAAAGACACGAGUCCUUCGGCCGAGGCGGGGGAAGCCGCACUCGGCGCUACUUUUCGGGGCCGGAUUGGAGGGGGGGGGGGGAGGUCCGAUGUGGAGCCAAGCGAUUAUUUCUCUUACCCUGCCCAGGGAUCCGCUGCUUCUCCCGGCGCCGCUUCCNCCCCCCCCCCGCACCGGAGGGGAUUUCCUCGGUCCACCUUAACUCGGGGCUCGUUCCGCCGCCGGGGCGGGCGGGGAGGGCUAGGCAACGUGGGGCCGCCGGUUCAUUCCCCUGCGCCCCCCGGGCCGGGCAGGGGGCGCUGCGAGCCCUCGGGGUGCGCCGCCGGGCACGGCCCCGCCGCUGGGGGUGGAGGGGGGGGACACGACGACACGGACGUGCCCGCUCCGCCGCCGGCCCCGGGGUGCGGCACGGGUGCACCUUGCACCCCGGAGGAGAGGCGACUGACUGCCAGGCGAGCGCCGGCCUCCCCGGGACCGGCGAGGGGGCCCGAUCCCGGCCCUCUGCGACUCCACCGCCGGAGCUUCCCCCCUCCUCUCCCCUCCCCGCUGGCUGCACUUAGCCAGCGCUGUCAUGCCCUACGCGGAGCUCCGCUAUUAAAUAAUUUAGCGGCGGCAGCAGCAGCGCUUCCCUGCCCGCUUCUCACCUCCUCCCGGCCCCCGCCAUCAAUUAUUCAGGGCCAGCCCGGUAACCGCCUGGAUCCGGGCGAGGAGAGGAGGACGGCGGCGGCGGCGCCGGGGCUCUACCUGGGGCCGGGCCGGGCCGCUCGCCCGCUCUCGGAGCCCCGGAGGAAGCGCGACCGGUCCGCGGGGCGGCAGCCCCCCGCCGCACGGCGAAAAGUUACUGCCGCCUCGCCCCGGCGGGAAGAGGUUGCGGGAGGGUCCCCGCCGCCGCUCGGCUGCCCCGGGGUGGGGUGGGGGGGAGUCCGGGUGGCAGGAGGCGGCGGGGCCGCACCGGCUGCGUCGGAUCGACCCGGGCGCCUGGACUGGAUGCCGGUGGCAGCUUUGCUCCUCCCCGGUCGGUCCGGUCCCCCCAACUCUGGCUUCCCCUCUACCUCCCCACCCCCGCCCCCCCCCCCCAUCUUCUUCUCCCGGCUCCUCCUCUUCUCCUUCCCCCUCGGCCCUCCCCCAGCCCGGCUGCCCCCUGUCCUUGCGCCCUUCUGCCCUGGGUCCCUCCUGUCACCACCGCCUCGUCCUGCCGCGCUCCCCCUUCCUCACCGAGCCCGCCCUUCUCCCUCCCUCCCUCUCUCCCUCCGUGCGGCAUUGCGCUCGCUUCCCGUGUGCGAGAUGUAUUAUUUAUUUAUUGGUGUUUAA
ensembl:lncRNA